CUCAGGGUGGAGAGCGUGGAGCCCGCCAGCCGGGCAGAAGUACUAAACAAGCAAGCACUAGGGGAAAAAACUUCAAAGGUCGAUGCUACAGAAUUUGCCCUGAAGAAUAAAGAUUUGUUGUAUGAAAGGAUGGCAAAACACUUUUGAAUGAGAAGAAUCUGUUCAUGUUAGAGUAAUGUCAAAGUGCUUACAGUGCAGCUGCUUUCUCAUGCAUUCAAGAUCCUUCAUUUGCAACUAUGCUACAUCUCUGUAUUGGUGCAUGCAUAGCCCCACCACUGGAAAGCAAAUUAUCCACCUCAUGCAUGCUUUGGCUGCAGAUUGGAUUGAAUAUGUGAAGAAAACAAUCCCAUGUGUACCUGCUCAGAAGUGAGUCCCAUAGAGUUCGUUGAGUUUAGGGCCACCACCAUAGUCUUAAUGAUAAAAUAUCAAUAUGGGAGAUGUAGUCCUUUUCUUAAAAGGAAGAAUUAGCAUUUCAUAACUAAUGAAUGGCAAAUACAGAUUUUCAGUUGGGAGCUGCAUGUACAGCUUAGACCAGCAGAUCAUCUUGCCAUGCAUCAAGGGAUAUAUUAGGAUUUGCAUUAGAAAGCUUCUGUAAGCUUCUUUUCUACUAUGUAAUUUUAUGUGAAUUGAGCUUGCUAAUGGCAAGCAAGAAAUUAUAUAUAUGCGCUCCAUUAUGGAUAUCCUGCAUACUUUAUUGUAAAGUCUAAUUUUACAGAGGUUCUUGUGCUUACUCUAAUACACAAAAUCUAGUAAAGAUGCAUGAAACAGAAGAAAUUUGUGAUCCUGUUGGGUAGAUUUUUUAAAAGACUGAUUAUUACCCAAAUUUUUUUCUGCAGUUAUGAGACAAAUAUAUGAUAUGUGCUUUUUACAGAAUUCUUUUUUCAUAAUUUUGAGAUGAGUAUGUGAUAUAUACGGUACAUUUUACAGAAUUCUUUUCUAUCUGCUGUAUGUCUGUAUUUUCUAGGGAAUGCUUAAUAUGCUUCUCCCAUUAUAAGAAUCUUUCACUAUGAUGAUAAAGGGUGAGUGGGACCAGACCUGAAGUAUUUGGGGUCUUCCAGACAAGGCUUUUAUUGUGUAAUCAUCCUGCCUCAUUCCUGGGAUAUUGUGAGGGGCACAGUUGAUGAUGUGUUUUGUUUAUAACUUGCUUUUUUUCUUUUUUAGUUACACAGAAAAUCCAUGAAAGAGGAAAAGAAGAAAUACAGUAGUUGGUUGCAAGUAUCAACUUUUGAUUGAGCUUCGGGAAGGAUACCUCCUCAUGCUACCAAUCUCUCUUUCUGUCUGUCUCUACUUUAGAAAAAAAAAGUGAUCUGGGGCAGGGGAAGAGUAAGAAAAUCAGGGACAAAUAGAAAACUUUCAUGGUUAGGAAUCUAAUAUGUAUGUAAAAAUAAGAGUUGAGAAUAAACAGUGUUGUUCCACCCUAUCA
rnacentral:lncRNA from 1 species